UAACGUAUGGUCUAAUGGGUAGGGCUGCCGGUUAACAGCCGGAAAACCCAGGUUCGGUCCCUGGUGCGGUAG
rnacentral:tRNA from 1 species